rnacentral:rRNA from 1 species
GUGACCUCAAAUCAGGUAGGACUACCCGCUGAACUUAAGCAUAUCAAUAAGCGGAGGAAAAGAAACUAACAAGGAUUCCCCUAGUAACUGCGAGUGAAGCGGGAAAAGCUCAAAUUUAAAAUCUGGCAGUCUUUGACUGUCCGAGUUGUAAUCUAGAGAGGUGAUUUCGGCGCUGGACCGUGUACAAGUCUCCUGGAAUGGAGCGUCAUAGAGGGUGAGAAUCCCGUCUCUGACACGGGCUGCCAGGGCUUUGUGAAGCACUCUCAAAGAGUCGAGUUGUUUGGGAAUGCAGCUCAAAAUGGGUGGUAAAUUCCAUCUAAAGCUAAAUAUUGGCGAGAGACCGAUAGCGAACAAGUACCGUGAGGGAAAGAUGAAAAGAACUUUGGAAAGAGAGUUAAACAGUACGUGAAAUUGCUGAAAGGGAAACGCUUGAAGUCAGUCGCGUUGUCCAGGGAUCAACCUUGCUUUUGCUUGGUGUACUUUCUGGUUGACGGGUCAGCAUCAAUUUUGACUAUUGGAAAAAAAUCAGGGAAAUGUGGCAUCUUUGGAUGUGUUAUAGUCCUUGGUUGUAUACAAUGGUUAGGAUUGAGGAAUUCAGCACGCCGCAAGGUCGGGUGUU